rnacentral:rRNA from 1 species
AGAGUUUGAUCAUGGCUCAGAUUGAACGCUGGCGGCAGGCCUAACACAUGCAAGUCGAACGGUAACAGGAAGCAGCUUGCUGCUUUGCUGACGAGUGGCGGACGGGUGAGUAAUGUCUGGGAAACUGCCUGAUGGAGGGGGAUAACUACUGGAAACGGUGGCUAAUACCGCAUAACGUCGCAAGACCAAAGAGGGGGACCUUCGGGCCUCUUGCCAUCAGAUGUGCCCAGAUGGGAUUAGCUUGUUGGUGAGGUAACGGCUCACCAAGGCGACGAUCCCUAGCUGGUCUGAGAGGAUGACCAGCCACACUGGAACUGAGACACGGUCCAGACUCCUACGGGAGGCAGCAGUGGGGAAUAUUGCACAAUGGGCGCAAGCCUGAUGCAGCCAUGCCGCGUGUAUGAAGAAGGCCUUCGGGUUGUAAAGUACUUUCAGCGGGGAGGAAGGUGUUGUGGUUAAUAACCGCAGCAAUUGACGUUACCCGCAGAAGAAGCACCGGCUAACUCCGUGCCAGCAGCCGCGGUAAUACGGAGGGUGCAAGCGUUAAUCGGAAUUACUGGGCGUAAAGCGCACGCAGGCGGUCUGUCAAGUCGGAUGUGAAAUCCCCGGGCUCAACCUGGGAACUGCAUUCGAAACUGGCAGGCUUGAGUCUUGUAGAGGGGGGUAGAAUUCCAGGUGUAGCGGUGAAAUGCGUAGAGAUCUGGAGGAAUACCGGUGGCGAAGGCGGCCCCCUGGACAAAGACUGACGCUCAGGUGCGAAAGCGUGGGGAGCAAACAGGAUUAGAUACCCUGGUAGUCCACGCCGUAAACGAUGUCUACUUGGAGGUUGUGCCCUUGAGGCGUGGCUUCCGGAGCUAACGCGUUAAGUAGACCGCCUGGGGAGUACGGCCGCAAGGUUAAAACUCAAAUGAAUUGACGGGGGCCCGCACAAGCGGUGGAGCAUGUGGUUUAAUUCGAUGCAACGCGAAGAACCUUACCUGGUCUUGACAUCCACGGAAGAAUUCAGAGAUGGAUUUGUGCCUUCGGGAACCGUGAGACAGGUGCUGCAUGGCUGUCGUCAGCUCGUGUUGUGAAAUGUUGGGUUAAGUCCCGCAACGAGCGCAACCCUUAUCCUUUGUUGCCAGCGGUCAGGCCGGGAACUCAAAGGAGACUGCCAGUGAUAAACUGGAGGAAGGUGGGGAUGACGUCAAGUCAUCAUGGCCCUUACGACCAGGGCUACACACGUGCUACAAUGGCGCAUACAAAGAGAAGCGACCUCGCGAGAGCAAGCGGACCUCAUAAAGUGCGUCGUAGUCCGGAUUGGAGUCUGCAACUCGACUCCAUGAAGUCGGAAUCGCUAGUAAUCGUGGAUCAGAAUGCCACGGUGAAUACGUUCCCGGGCCUUGUACACACCGCCCGUCACACCAUGGGAGUGGGUUGCAAAAGAAGUAGGUAGCUUAACCUUCGGGAGGGCGCUUACCACUUUGUGAUUCAUGACUGGGGUGAAGUCGUAACAAGGUAACCGUAGGGGAACCUGCGGUUG